rnacentral:rRNA from 1 species
UACAGAGGGUGCGAUCGUUGUCCGGAUUCACUGGGUUUAAAGGGUGUGUAGGCGGGCUAUUAAGUCAGUGGUGAAAUCUCCGGGCUCAACCCGGAAACUGCCAUUGAUACUAUUAGUCUUGAAUAUUGUUGAGGUAGGCGGAAUAUAUCAUGUAGCGGUGAAAUGCAUAGAUAUGAUAUAGAACACCGAUUGCGAAGGCAGCUUACUAAACAAUUAUUGACGCUGAGGCACGAAAGCGUGGGGAUCAAACAGG